GCAAAUUGAGGUAGUAGGUUGUAUAGUAGUAUUUAUUUCUAGCAUACUAUACAAUGUGCUAGCUUUCUUUGC
rnacentral:pre_miRNA from 1 species